GAUGAACGCUAGCUACAGGCUUAACACAUGCAAGUCGAGGGGUAACGAGAGGGAAGCUUGCUUUCCUUGUCGACGACCGGCGGAUGGGUGAGUAACGCGUAUCCAACCUGCCCUUCAGUAAGGGAUAGCCUUUCGAAAGAAAGAAUAAUACCUUAUGUGAUCGUCUGAUGACAUCAGACGACGAUCAAAGAUUUAUCGCUGAAGGAUGGGGAUGCGUCCCAUUAGGCAGUAGGCGGGGUAACGGCCCACCUAACCUACGAUGGGUAGGGGUUCUGAGAGGAAGGUCCCCCACAUUGGAACUGAGACACGGUCCAAACUCCUACGGGAGGCAGCAGUGAGGAAUAUUGGUCAAUGGCCGUAAGGCUGAACCAGCCAAGUAGCGUGCAGGAUGACGGCCCUAUGGGUUGUAAACUGCUUUUAAACGGGGAUAAAGUGAGCCACGUGUGGUUUAUUGCAGGUACCGUUUGAAUAAGGACCGGCUAAUUCCGUGCCAGCCGCCGCGGUAAAAC
rnacentral:rRNA from 1 species